AAGUCGUAACAAGGUUUCCGUAGGUGAACCUGCGGAAGGAUCAUUAACACUUUUUGUUGAUUGUUGGUUUUUCUUAUAAAAACCGACAACCACAAUUAUCCUAUCCAAACUGAAGAGCUUGUGAGCAGUGUGCUUCUUUUUGUUUCUUUCGAGACAAAAAGCUGUGCUCCCAUUUUCUCACUUUUUUCUCUUUGAAACAAAAACCCCAAUCACACAAAUCUAAAUCAUUUGUGAGAUUGCAAACAACCAAUUUGCUAUCUUGACAAUCUAAAAAACGACUAUUAAGAGAUUUACAUCUCAAAAUGUAACCAAACAACUCUUAACAACGGAUAUCUUGGCUCUC
rnacentral:misc_RNA from 1 species